rnacentral:rRNA from 1 species
GACGAACGCUGGCGGCGUGCUUAACACAUGCAAGUCGAACGGUAAGGCCCUUCGGGGUACACGAGUGGCGAACGGGUGAGUAACACGUGGGUGAUCUGCCCUGCACUUCGGGAUAAGCCUGGGAAACUGGGUCUAAUACCGGAUAGGACCACUGCCUGCAUGGGUGGGGGUGGAAAGCUUUUGCGGUGUGGGAUGGGCCCGCGGCCUAUCAGCUGGUUGGGGGGGUGGUGGCCUACCAAGGCGACGACGGGUAGCCGGCCUGAGAGGGUGACCGGCCACACUGGGACUGAGAUACGGCCCAGACUCCUACGGGAGGCAGCAGUGGGGAAUAUUGCACAAUGGGCGCAAGCCUGAUGCAGCGACGCCGCGUGAGGGAUGACGGCCUUCGGGUUGUAAACCUCUUUCAGCACCGACGAAGCGCAAGUGACGGUAGGUGCAGAAGAAGGACCGGCCAACUACGUGCCAGCCGCCGCUGUAA